GGUUGUGGCUCAGUGGUACAGCACUUGCCUGGCAUGUGUGAGGCCCUGGGUUCGAUCCUCAGCAUACCA
rnacentral:tRNA from 1 species